CUGCCGUAAAGGCCGUGUGUUGCGCCUGCGCACCUUCUUUCCCUUUCGGAUUUCCGACGCGGUGGUUGCUGUAAAGGUUCCUACCAGCGCCACACGGCCGUCGCCAUGGUGAAGCUGAGCAAAGAGGCCAAGCAGAGGCUGCAGCAGCUUUUCAAAGGGGGCCAGUUUGCCAUCCGCUGGGGUUUUAUUCCUCUUGUGAUUUACCUGGGAUUUAAGAGAGGUGCAGAUCCUGGAAUGCCUGAACCAACUGUUUUGAGGGUCUCACUCUGUCACCCAGGCUGGAGUGCAGUGGCACAGUCACGGCUCACUGCAGCCUUGACCUCCUGAGUUUAGCUGGUCCUCCCACCUCAGCCUCCCAAGUAGCCAGGACCACAGCCUACUUUGGGGAUAAAGGAUUAUUUGGUCUUCUGGAUUUGGAAGCAAUUAGCAGACAGCAUGGAAGAUGUGUGCCCUGGCUUGGAUAAGAGAUGGGACAUCGUUCGGUCACCAGUUGGAUGGCACAAGGCUCAUCACAGAUGAAUCUGUAGCAGAUUGGAGCUUGUACUAACUUCCGAUAGAAUGUAUCAGAAUAAAUGUUUUUAACAAUGUUA